UUGUAUCUUCGGAUAGGCGCUUCAUGUACUGCGUUGUUUUGUUGUAUUCGUAAGAACUUUGUACGUUUCAGCUUCACUUACUUUCUAUAGCUUCCGACCGCAGGAGCUUUGUACGUUCUUCUCAUUAUUCAAGAGACUCUGCCUUCGUCCUCCUGAACGACGGCUCCAACAACACGGGGAAGGAAAUCGGCGCGGAUAAGGGGAAAAAAAUAAAUCGAGCAAGGAGGAGCGCUUUCUUUUUGUACCAAAUAAAGCGCUGGACAUUCCGUUCAUCCAUCAAGUAAAUAGUAACCCGAGGAAUCGCCACCAAUGCGAGAUGC
rnacentral:lncRNA from 1 species